AGAGUUUGAUCAUGGCUCAGAUUGAACGCUGGCGGCAGGCUUAACACAUGCAAGUCGAGCGGGGGAAGGUAGCUUGCUACUGGACCUAGCGGCGGACGGGUGAGUAAUGCUUAGGAAUCUGCCUAUUAGUGGGGGACAACAUCUCGAAAGGGAUGCUAAUACCGCAUACGUCCUACGGGAGAAAGCAGGGGAUCUUCGGACCUUGCGCUAAUAGAUGAGCCUAAGUCGGAUUAGCUAGUUGGUGGGGUAAAGGCCUACCAAGGCGACGAUCUGUAGCGGGUCUGAGAGGAUGAUCCGCCACACUGGGACUGAGACACGGCCCAGACUCCUACGGGAGGCAGCAGUGGGGAAUAUUGGACAAUGGGGGGAACCCUGAUCCAGCCAUGCCGCGUGUGUGAAGAAGGCCUUAUGGUUGUAAAGCACUUUAAGCGAGGAGGAGGCUACUUUAGUUAAUACCUAGAGAUAGUGGACGUUACUCGCAGAAUAAGCACCGGCUAACUCUGUGCCAGCAGCCGCGGUAAUACAGAGGGUGCGAGCGUUAAUCGGAUUUACUGGGCGUAAAGCGUGCGUAGGCGGCUUAUUAAGUCGGAUGUGAAAUCCCCGAGCUUAACUUGGGAAUUGCAUUCGAUACUGGUGAGCUAGAGUAUGGGAGAGGAUGGUAGAAUUCCAGGUGUAGCGGUGAAAUGCGUAGAGAUCUGGAGGAAUACCGAUGGCGAAGGCAGCCAUCUGGCCUAAUACUGACGCUGAGGUACGAAAGCAUGGGGAGCAAACAGGAUUAGAUACCCUGGUAGUCCAUGCCGUAAACGAUGU
rnacentral:rRNA from 1 species